rnacentral:misc_RNA from 1 species
CGCACAAAUUCGAUUUUGGCAUUCCUAGCCCCGUAAAAACGGGCGAAAGAGUGCCGCUGAUGGGUGCGUCCGUGCUGCCUUAAUUGGGGGCCGCGGUCACCUGAAGAAGAGAUGGGCCAAAAUUCGAGGAUCAGGGGGUCGAAAUUUCGAUUUUCUGGUCUCGUCGCGUUGUUGUUUUUUAUGACCUGAUAGAGUAACGUUGCGGGACGGGAUGCAAAUGUUUUUCUGUGUUUUUUGGCGUUGUGUGGAUUUGAGUGGGGACGGAAAUUGGGAAAAUUGUCGUCAGUACCUGCGACCCGCAAGGGUCUGUGUGGGAAACGGUGGUUUUUUUGGUUUUCGUUUUUCAUUUGGUUUGCAUGGCGCCUUGCAGGGAGCAAAGAAUAUUUUCCUACGCUGCGAAUUAGUUUUUUUUUUUCGUUUGCAGGGCUGAUGUGGUAUUCUUGUUUCGAAUAUUGUGUUUCGGUCGUAACGCGAAAAUCGUGGGGGGGAAAAGCAAAGAAGCGUGGCGCGCAAAAAUUGGGUUUUAUCGUCCAGAACCAAAAAACCAAAAAACCAAGAUACUGGAUCUCAAAUCAGA